rnacentral:rRNA from 1 species
UACAGAGGUCCCGAGCGUUGUUCGGAAUCACUGGGCGUAAAGCGCACGUAGGCGGACUCUUAAGUCGGGGGCGAAAUCCUGGAGCUCAACUCCAGAACUGCCUUCGAUACUGAGAGUCUUCGAGUUCGGGAGAGGUGAGUGGAACUGCGAGUGUAGAGGUGAAAUUCGUAGAUAUUCGCAAGAACACCAGUGGCGAAGGCGGCUCACUGGCCCGUAACUGACGCUGAGGCACGAAAGCGUGGGGAGCAAACAGG